rnacentral:rRNA from 1 species
GACGUAGGGUGCGAGCGUUGUCCGGAUUUAUUGGGCGUAAAGAGCUCGUAGGCGGUUUGUCGCGUCUGCUGUGAAAACUGGAGGCUCAACCUCCAGCCUGCAGUGGGUACGGGCAGACUAGAGUGCGGUAGGGGAGAUUGGAAUUCCUGGUGUAGCGGUGGAAUGCGCAGAUAUCAGGAGGAACACCAAUGGCGAAGGCAGAUCUCUGGGCCGUAACUGACGCUGAGGAGCGAAAGCAUGGGGAGCGAACAGG